AGCCCUACAAGAUUCUUUGGUUGGCUUUCGCUUGUAUUUUCAGUUCUGGUUUUGUCGUUCACAUAUGCUUUUUUACACCAUUUUGUUCCUUUUUUGUCUUCUUUUGCUGCUUUUAAUGGUGGGCAAUUUGGUAAUUAAAGUUCUGGUGUUUCAAAUGUAGUAUGCGUGUUCUGGGUUUGUUUCUAUAGAUGAAAAGAACAAGAAGUUACAUACGUUUCUUAAAUUUUAAGAUAUGAACACCACAACAUGCACAUCUCUUGUCUCACCAUUCAUAUCCACUUUCACACAAAACCACUCUCAAAUUAGUUGAUGGGUGAUAUUGACAAGAUCAUAUAUGGUGCUUUUAUCUCCCUUGAUUGUUUUAUUUCCAUUGCUUUCCAGGACUAAUAGUUUGGACCAUUAAUAGGGGGAAAAAUAACAUAUCUUGAGUUCUACUAGGACACCAGCAACAUUUCAUUUUUUAAACUCUCUUUCUCUCUUCUUUUCUUUUUUCCAUAGCUUUUACUAGCUUGAACUAUAAUUUGAAAGCUUCUCUUAGGGUGGAUGUUCGCAACUGAAAGCAUAGUUAUUUAGUUUCUCUUUCGUUUUCUUUUCUAUUUUUAUGUUCAUUUUUCUUUUUCCUUUUUUUCUUACUUUGAUUUGCAUGACUGGUUAUAUUGAUAGAUGAUGCACUUUCUCAUUCUCAUGAAUAUUUUGUUGGCCUUGAAGGAUUGAGAAUCUUAGAGGGUAAGUUCUUUGUUCCUGCAUUUUCUUGAUGGAUGAGCUUUUCCAUCACUUUGAAAUUUAUCAUUAGUACCUACUCCGUUUUGCCAAGUUGGUCGUAUUUUCUCUUUACAUGCUGACUUUUCAAUUUUCAUGUCUUGGGCAGGAGGUGAUGCGGUUCGCUUUGGUCCUCUGAGUUGCUUGCGAUUUAUUGCAGGUUGUGCUUCCCGGGAGUAUGGCUUUAUAGAUUGUUUUGUUUUAUAUUUUAGGAAUUUCUAAAUGGGUUGGUUGUUAGUUUUUGCCAUCGGAGCAGAAGUUGGGAGUUCUGCUAUAACUAUGGGGCUGUCCAAUUGGUUGCUAUCAUUUUCCUUUUAGCAGGAGUGUGUUAAUUGCACACAGCUUUGUUUGGGAUCUUAAAUUUGUUGGAGGUGCAAUUGGUUUGAGUGUUUCAAAAGGUGGAUAGGAAAAAUCAACCAAAUUUUUUGAAGUGCAUUAUGCUUCUUACAAGACGAACUUUGAUCGUCACAAAGCCAUGGAUACUAAAACAGGUCAUUUGCUCAAGAUUCAAAAAGACAUCAGGCACUUGCAACACUUUAUGUUGUGAAGAUGCAAGAAGACAAGUCUGUUGCAACUUGAACAUCAAAAUUUCCUGCAGUUGGUACAUUAAUAAUCAAUGUAUGCAAUAUCUGUGGGGUUGUUUGUUUCCCUAACACCAAUGUUCUAAAAGUCGCUAGGCGUUAGUCGGGCAGUCGGCCACCUUCGAGCGAUUAAUCGUUAGUCGGACGUA